rnacentral:rRNA from 1 species
AUUGAACGCUGGCGGCAGGCCUAACACAUGCAAGUCGAGCGGAUGAAGGGAGCUUGCUCCUGGAUUCAGCGGCGGACGGGUGAGUAAUGCCUAGGAAUCUGCCUGGUAGUGGGGGAUAACGUCCGGAAACGGGCGCUAAUACCGCAUACGUCCUGAGGGGGAAAGUGGGGGAUCUUCGGACCUCACGCUAUCAGAUGAGCCUAGGUCGGAUUAGCUAGUUGGUGGGGUAAAGGCCUACCAAGGCGACGAUCCGUAACUGGUCUGAGAGGAUGAUCAGUCACACUGGAACUGAGAAACGGUCCAGACUCCUACGGGAGGCAGCAGUGGGGAAUAUUGGACAAUGGGCGAAAGCCUGAUCCAGCCAUGCCGCGUGUGUGAAGAAGGUCUUCGGAUUGUAAAGCACUUUAAGUUGGGAGGAAGGGCAGUAAGUUAAUACCUUGCUGUUUUGACGUUACCAACAGAAUAAGCACCGGCUAACUUCGUG